CCCAUCUCCUCCCCCUUGCAAUGAGAUAAUGAAUCGUAAUACCUAUCUAUCCAGUCCUGGGAAUCACGAAGACUAAUAGAGCAUCCCUUGGCUGAAGAGGGCACUAGGACCCUCCAGACUCCUGGAAGCAGCGGGCUUGGCAAGGAGUCAGUGACACUGAACUCACUGCGCUGUUACACAAGGCAGAGAGGAGUGGUGGAGGCAGCAGCCACAGCAGCGGCGGCGGCGGCGGCGGCGGUGGCGGCGGUGGCAGCAGCAGCAGCAGCAGCAAAGGCAGAAGCAUCUGUGUGUCCUCUGUCACUGCCAAUGGAAAGCUGACGGAAGCAACAGUGUCAUAAAGAGAUGGGCUAGUUCUCCCCCAGCUGCUGAAAUCGGGAGACAUUUGGAGCUGAUCCACACCCAGCCCAUCAGCCCAGAAGCAGCAGACAGAUACAGCAAAGGAAUGAUAGAGCAUGGAGAACACAAAAGACCACUCUGAAGAUCCAAACCAUGAGACCCAUGAUUUGGAUUCAAGCCAAAAGAACAGUUCACAUGGCAUAGCAAUCCAUGGAGGUGGCAAGCCUCCAUAAGACUGAUCAAUCUUAACUAAGCCACUUCUCAAAAAAUAUUUACCCAAUUUUGUGUUACUAAGUGGCUGCCUCACCCGUUAUAUUAACCCCAGACCAAAUAGUACUAUUGUUGUUGCUCAGCUACCUUAAAAAAGGUAACAUAAUGAUGUACAGCCUUGUAUUCUAAUAUUAUGUAUAAUUAUUUCUGUUAAAUAUUUAUACAUAUAUUUAUACAUAUAAUAUAUGCAUAUAUUAUAUAUAUAAUAAAAAAAUUAAAUGUAAGUUUCA
rnacentral:lncRNA from 1 species